rnacentral:piRNA from 1 species
UUAGGGCAAAACCUAAAAGUUGGUUGGGUUU